rnacentral:rRNA from 1 species
GAUCAUGGCUCAGGAUGAACGCUAGCUACAGGCUUAACACAUGCAAGUCGAGGGGCAGCAUGGUCUUAGCUUGCUAAGGCCGAUGGCGACCGGCGCACGGGUGAGUAACGCGUAUCCAACCUGCCUUACACUCUUGGACAGCCUUCUGAAAGGGAGAUUAAUACAAGAUGUUAUCACGAGUAAGCAUUUUCACAUGAUUAAAGGUUUACCGGUGUAAGAUGGGGAUGCGUUCCA